GUGGGUACGACAAAUGGGUGUCUGAGAAAGGGUGGUUCGGUCAUCCCUGGGGACCGGCUUCGUCUUCAGGCCCCCUGGUCAGCUGCAGGAUCUGUGCAGCAUGUGUGCAGCGAGGGCAGCCUGUUAAACACAUUUCAUUUUAACCCCCCGCUAAAACAACAGUCAUUACUUUUUAUUGUCUUUAAUGCUAAAACUGAUGUCAUUGCGCCGCAGAAAUAAGCUGUCGAGACGGAGCUUUUCACCCUUUAUUAUUGGAAAUGUACUUCAUGUAGCAAACUACUACAGAAGCUCAAAAUCAUCAGUCCUAAUUAAAGUUUAUUAAUCACAGAAUGGCUUUUAAAAGCUCCCACGCUGGUCUGGUGAUUAAUCUUUAGCUGGUUUCAUGUGGUAAAAAAAAAAACAGAGUUGAACUUAAGGUGAUGGUAAUAGGCUAUUAAGGCCUUUUAAUUGGAAAGUCCCCCCCUCCUCCUUCGCCAACUCUCUCUCACACCACACCGCCAACUAAUGAAAUCAGUGAAUAGCCAGCUUGAAAGGGAAGGACAAAAGCAGAGAUAGGGAGAAGACAAUAUCCUUGUGUGGGAGAAUUAGUUACACUCAGUAGUCUAAGUAUUCAAAGUGCACUGCAAAAAAAAAAAAAAAAAAGAAAGAAGGGGGGGAUGCAGGAGGGGGAUUAAGAGAAAAGUCCACACAGGUGGGUUGCUGGGAGGGAGGAGGGGUCACAUGACAGGACGUUACCUCGUUUGAUAAACAACAGUCGGGGCCCACAGGAAGAAGGAAGGGAGUUAUUUUAUAGGCGGAAUUAACUGCUUCACCACAUCAGGUAUUCAUUAGGGUAAAUCUCCCAGGUGUGCCGUACAUGCGAGUGAAGUCGAAAACAUCUUAGGAGGUUGGAUUUGAUGCAGAGCGACUCGGACUGAUUGAUAUUUGCCCGUGGACACUAAAAGGCCUCACAAACUCCUUCUGAGUCACAGCUGAAAUGGUAUUCCAAGAAAUGCAAUUUAGAGUCAGAUUUGUGUGUGUGUGUGUGUGGCAGAAACAGGAUGAAUAUCUAAUGAUUUUUUUUGUGCACUGUCAGGAAACAAGAAAGAGACUCACAGAGGGAGGCGGGUCCUCCUCCAGGCUGGCUGCCAUGUUUCUACAGCAGCCCAGAGCGGACAAACCAAACACUCUUGACCUUUCAGCUGAUGCGUCUGUCAAUUUCUGAGUGUCAAGAGGUUGUGGCUGAUCCCCCUGACUGAUUACACCAUGUGACUACUUGCUGUCUGCACGAUGGCUUCACAUGGUCUGAAGCCAAAUCUUAAGCAACUUUCACAGCUACAUGAUCUCAAAACAGAAAGGAUGGACAUCAUGAAACAGGAUUUUUUUGCACCCUUGUAAACUUUGAUGGCUGAUAACUGAUCUGUUGAUGAUGAAUACUCUUUUCUAAAAGGUUAAGGUGGUUCUGACAUUUGAUCUGUCUGAGUGGUGUAUAUGCAACCGUGUGUGUCUUUGUGUGAGAAAGUGAAAGAUUGCUGCUUGUGCGCCCUGCAGUCUGAUGGCUCAUCCUGUCACACCCUGUCGCCUUCAUGUCACCGCCGCACAGUGGCUGCUUUUUCUCGCCCUCUCUCCGGCUCAGCGCCCGGCAGCAGCGACACUCCCGCCACCGCCGCUCACUCGCCUCCUCUCUCCCCGUAAAACCGCUUCUCUCGUCAACGACGACUAGAAGCGUCGGGUUCGUUUAGGCUUUGGAGGCAAUGAUUUGCGUUCUUGAUGAGCAGGUUGAACACUUGUUUCUUGGUUUGAUGCCUUUUUUUAAAAGACAGGUUUGUUUGACACAUACUGGCUAAUUUUUCGGUGUGAAAAUGUGCUGUGAGCUGAGAUAAACAUAGAGGAAUGAGUCCAGUCUUGAGUUCAGUCUUUGUCCAGUCGUCUGUUGAGUUUCCCUGAUCCUGCGGUUGUGUUUGGCUGUUACUCGUGUUGCCUUCGUCCUGCCGUCUUCUGCAUUUGUGUCCACCUUAUCUGCUCCAGCGUGACAACUUAAACUAUCCUUUCCAGCUACAAUCCUCACAUAUGGGCCCGUGAGCACAAUGAAAAGUUAUACAUUACUGUAUUUAUAUUAUCAUCUGACAGUUAUUGCAUUAACAGCAGCUGUCUCCGUAUAGACUCAUGAUUUAUAUUAAUCUGCUCAGUACAAAUUCACUUUGACAUCAACAAGCUCUGCCCAUUGUAUGUAAAUCCCCCAC
rnacentral:lncRNA from 1 species